rnacentral:rRNA from 1 species
GAAAAUUACAAGCAUAAGCUCAAAACUCAAAGGACUUGGCGGCGCUUUAGACCCACCUAGAGGAGCCUGUCCUAUAACCGAUAACCCCCGUUAAACCUUACCUUCUUUUGCCUCCAGUUUAUAUACCGCCGUCGUCAGCUUACCCUUUGAGGGUGCUAUUAGUAAGCAGAAUCGGUUUAACCCCAGACGUCAGGUCGAGGUGUAGCAUAUAAGAAGUGAAGAGAUGGGCUACAUUUCCUAUUUAGGGCCCACGGAUAAUGUUUUGAAACAAACAUAUUGAAGUCGGAUUUAGCAGUAAGUAAAAAAUAGAGUGUUUU